rnacentral:lncRNA from 10 species
CUGCGUCCCACUAGGAGGGGGCAGGGACGGGACGUGGGAAAAUGACUACGCGUCACUCGUGAUGUCGCGCAUCCGAUAGGCCCUUUUCAGAUGGCAAAAGGCCUGAGGGUGAAUCUGGGCGAGCUGGUUGAGUCCAUGCGUUUGUGCUUCCUCUCAGUCCACUUUCGCUUACGAUGGGGCGACUCUUGUCCAUCGUCACCUCACCGGGAAACUUUUCCUGCCGGGCCAGUUAAUGGUCCCCUGUACCAUCCCCAUCCUGAGUGACUACUAAGCAGCCGCAGCGACUCGGGGUUGCUCCGUGACCACGUUACUCAGUUAACCUUCUUGUUCCCUGGAGAGGCGGAGCUGAAUGGCCCGGACGGGGUUUCUCCAUGUUUCCCAGGCUGGUCUCAAACUCCUGGACUCAAGCAAUCUGCCCACCUUGCCUCCCAAAAUGCUCCUCCAAAAAAGGAGUGUGCCGCCACACCCAGCCUGAGCAACUUUUGUUUUUAAGGUGUCAGCCAUCAGACCCCAAGUCUCCAGCUGUGUUGAGUUAUCUGCAGGCCCUGAUUGUGUGUGCCAAGGUGCAAAGAAAUAAAUUCUGUCAACAAUCAAGUGACUUUGGAAGAGGUUCCUGAGCCUCAGAUGAGACCCCAGCCUGGCCAACACUUUGAAGCCUUGUGAGAAUGACCAUCCAACUAAGCCUUGCCCUGACUCCUGACCCACGGAAACUGUGCGAUAAUAAAUGUAUAUUGUUUUAAGCUAUGACGUUUGGGAUAAUUUCUUACAUCAUAGACAACUAUUGCAGCCA